rnacentral:lncRNA from 1 species
UCUCCUUCAGCAUCUCAAGGUGCAAAUGACCAACACCAAUAUCAACAAACUCAUCAUGCAUUUCAUUCCACUCUAUGUUUGGGUCCCACAUUGCGUUAAUUUUUACAUUCGAGAUUUUACUUGGCGGAUAUAUGCUCAAUGGUGGAAUAUAGCUUCUCUAAAUAUACUUUUGACUAUACUUUUCAAGCCAUUUCUAGAAUUAGUAUGGCAUUAGGCCAAAUUUUUUAUAGUGAUUUAAUUCUAGUUUCA